GGGAAGGUGGCUCAGUGGUAGAGUGCUUGUCUUGCAUGCAUGAGGCCCUGGGCUCGAUUCCUCCAUACCA
rnacentral:tRNA from 1 species